rnacentral:rRNA from 1 species
CCUGGUAGUCCACGCCCGUAGACUAUGAACACUCGCUGUUGGCCAUACACAGUCAGCGGCUGAGCGAAAGCGCUAAGUGUUCCACCUGGGAAGUACGAUCGCAAGGUUGAAACUCAAAGGAAUCGACGGGGGCCCGCACAAACGGAGGAGCAUGUGGGUCAAUUCGAUGAUACGCGAGGAACCUUACCUGGGCUUAAAUGUAUAUUGACGUACUGAGAAAUCAGUAUUUCUUCGGACAAUUGACAAGCUGCUGCAUGGUCGUCGUCAGCUCGUGCCGUGAGGUGUCGGUCUAAGUCCCAUAACGAGCGCAACCCCUACUUGUAGUUACCAGCAUUUCGGAUGGGGACUCUAGAGGAACUGCCUACGCAAGUAGAGAGGAAGGUGGGGAUGACGUCAAAUCAGCACGGCCCUUAUGUCCAGGGCUACACACGUGCUACAAUGGCCGGUACAGAGGGCAGCUACAUAGCAAUAUGAUGCUAAUCUCCAAAGCCGGUCUCAGUCCGGAUUGGAGUCUGCAACUCGACUCCAUGAAGCUGGAUUCGCUAGUAAUCGCACAUCUGCAAUGGUGCGGUGAAUACGUUCCCGGGCAUUGUACACACCGCCCGUCAAGCCAUGGAAGUUGG